GACGAACGCUGGCGGCGUGCUUAACACAUGCAAGUCGAACGGGUCUGCCCUGUUUUUUGCGGGGUGGGUCAGCGGCGAACGGGUGAGUAACACGUGAGUAACCUGCCCCUCACUUCUGGAUAACCGCUUGAAAGGGUGGCUAAUACGGGGUGUUCUGGCUGUGCCGCAUGGUGUGGCUGGGAAAGAUUCACUUUUGUGGUGUUUUGGUGGGGGAUGGGCUCGCGGCCUAUCAGCUUGUUGGUGGGGUGAUGGCCUGCCAAGGCUUUGACGGGUAGCCGGCCUGAGAGGGUGGGCGGUCACACUGGGACUGAGAUACGGCCCAGACUCCUGCGGGAGGCAGCAGUGGGGGGUAUUGCACAAUGGGCGGAAGCCUGAUGCAGCGACGUCGCGUGAGGGAUGGAGGCCUUCGGGUUGUGAACCUCUUUCGCCGGUGAAGAAGGUCCUGCUCUUUGUGGUGGGGUUGACGGUAGCCGGGUUAUGAAGCGCCGGCUAACUACGUG
rnacentral:rRNA from 1 species